AAGCUAACGGUGAUUCACCGCUA
rnacentral:siRNA from 1 species